UGGUUGUGUUUAAUGGAAGUGGUAUUCUGAUAUUCUGGAUGUAGAGAAAUGAAAGAAUUUGUGGUUCCAACACCCUUACAUCUGUUUCUAUCUUAAACACAAAACUGCCUAAGACACUGUUAUUUGUAUUUAAGUGCAGGUCUGAACACGCUAUAACAGCUCAAAGAAUCAAAUCCAUGUUUUUCCAUACCUUACUGUCUGCUCCUCAUAAAACAUCAUGUUUUGUUCAGUCCUUUACAUUGUAUAAACCAAGUGAUGUUGUAUUGAAAGUUUAUUGUCCUGCGUUGUAAAGCUGCAGGCAUGUUUCUCCUGGGAAGAUCAUGAUUUACGUGAUGAAAAGAAAGGGAUUUUAGUGUCUUAGAUGUACUGAUUCACAAUCUGACUACUAGGGGUUCUUGUUUGCCUGGCUUUGCUCUAGUUUAUGUGAUGGUGAACUUGUGCUGAAACGAGGUGCACUGUGAGAGCAGACUGUAAAAGAACAUAUGUCCAGUAAAAAUCAUGGACAGAGAUGUACUAGGUGGGUUUGUUUUCAAGGUACAGAGUUAGUUAUAAGUCCUAAAACCAGUAUUACCUGACAUGUGAACAGAAACAAAAUUCAUGUUAAAUGUACCUGACAGCUGAGGUACAUAAACCUGCUUCCUAGCUGUCAGGUAUUCAAGGGUGAAGAAAGAAUAAGUGCUGGGAAGUAUAAAUAUGAACUAAACCAGGAAUUUUUAAAUGCUCAGCUUUCAGGGUGAUGCAGAGGUGUGAAGCUAGGCAGGUAGAUGAGGUAGGUUCCCUGGAGAGAGCACCAAGGAGAGAGAAGCAGCAGAAUUCCCACUGGAGUCCCUUUGUUUCUGUUGCUAGUAGCUAACAUCCACCAGCAACAGGCACAGAAACAUCGUUCUGCUUCCCUUAAUCCUAACGUCUGGAAUUGAGGAAGAUUGAGUUCAACUGCUCUGCAAACAAAACAGAAGGGCCCAUCCAGGACAGCAAUAAGAUGGCCAGAAUCCCUCCUCUGUGUGUUGUGUCUGUUCUUAUCCUCUGGGCAGCCACACAGCAGGGAAAGGGGAAUGAAAUCACAGGUUGUACAUAUAUCAUUUGUUUAGCUGGAAAGCUAAAUGUGACAAAAGCAGAGGAGUCCUAACAACCUGAAGAAUGGUUUCUUUGGUUUCUUCUUUUUACAUUUUUCAUCUUCUUUGGAAAAAGGUAAGCUGUGCAAAUAAAAUAAGGCCUAAGUAUUUUAAUUCUAUGCUU
rnacentral:lncRNA from 1 species